ACCCACAGCUAAGGUCCCAAAUUUUGUGCUAAGUGGAAAACCAUGUGGAAAGGCACAGACAGCCAGGAGGUUGGCUUAGAAGCAGCCACCCUUUAAAGAAAGCGUAAUAGCUCACUGGUCGAGUCGGUCUGCGGGGAAGAUUUAACGGGGCUAAGCACAGAACCGAAGCUUGGGGUGCAUAACUUUGUUAUGCGCGGUAGAGGAGCGUUCCGUAAGCCGUUGAAGGUGGAUUGAGAAGUCUGCUGGAGGUAUCGGAAGUGCGAAUGCUGACA
rnacentral:rRNA from 1 species